GAGUUUGAUCAUGGCUCAGAUUGAACGCUGGCGGCAUGCCUUACACAUGCAAGUCGAACGGCAGCACGGGAGCUUGCUCCUGGUGGCGAGUGGCGAACGGGUGAGUAAUGCAUCGGAACGUAUCCUGGAGUGGGGGAUAACGUAGCGAAAGUUACGCUAAUACCGCAUAUUCUGUGAGCAGGAAAGCGGGGGACCUUCGGGCCUCGCGCUCUU
rnacentral:rRNA from 1 species